UACGAAGGGGACUAGCGUUGUUCGGAAUUACUGGACGUAAAGCGCACGUAGGCGGAUUUGUAAGUCAGGGGUGAAAUCCCGGGGCUCAACCUCGGAACUGCCUUUGAUACUGCAAAUCUCGAGUCCGAUAGAGGUGGGUGGAAUUCCUAGUGUAGAGGUGAAAUUCGUAGAUAUUAGGAAGAACACCGGUGGCGAAGGCGGCCCACUGGAUCGGUACUGACGCUGAGGUGCGAAAGCGUGGGGAGCAAACAGG
rnacentral:rRNA from 1 species